UAGUGAACACCUGUGCUAUGCUUUUAUGGAAGUUAUAUUCAAGUCAGAGGAACAGAUGGUGAAUAAGUAACUUGAAUAAUUACAUAUUGUGUUAAGAGAGGGAAGAAAUGAAAUAUUUGCGUUGACAAAAAUUACAGGAGCAAGAACUAGAUGAGAUGAGGAAAUUAAGAAACAUCUCGCUGUAAAGGAGGGUACUAGUUGAGACCUAAAGGAUGUCAAGAGGAAUAUCGUAUGCUUUAGAAAAUAACAGCUGAGGAAAGAAGGAAGAUGUAGAGCAAAGCUGUAGGCAGAUAAGAAGUGGAUAUGUUUGGAAGAAGGCCAGAAGGGCUGUAGCCAAGGAAAAAGAAUUUCCCUGGAGGACACAGUGUGAACAGCAGAUAUUCUCUCCAUCUCAAAAGGAAAUCCAUCAGUCAGAGAUCUCUGGACCCGGAGCGCCAACGGAGGCAGGCCAUUCUCCACAAAGUAUUGCCUUGUCUUCCAGCUUCUUGAACCUCCGUGAGUCUUGCUGUUCUCUGGGAAGGGCAGAAGUGACUGGGGCACAGGGAAAGCACUCACCUUGAAUUCUGCUUCACCUCUGACCAUGAGCAUCUCUAACUGGCUCCUGUGAUUCAGCUUUUAGCAGAGACUGUAGAUUAGGACCUAUUUAAAGACCUUUAAAGUCUGGCCUUUCCCUUCCCCAAGCAUUAAUUUUCCCCCUCCUGCUACGCCCCCCUGCCUCCCACUCUGGCUUUCUCUGAGACCAGAGAGUGAAGCUAGAAGCAUUAACCCCUAACUUUCCUCUGUCCUCUGUGUACACAAAUGCAAAGGGUGGGGAAUUGAAUGCAUGGCCAAGAAUGUGUAUUGUUGAGAAUACACAGUUGUGAGCUUAUCGCUAUGCAUGUAUUUUUGUUAAAGAGUAUUUACAAUUGAGGAGAUAUUUUAUACAAUGUGAAAGCAUGUUGAUGCUUGUUGAUGUGUAUACCUGAGAGAUGUGUUAAGAAACGUGUGUAAGGGGGAUCCCUGGGUGGCGCAGUGGUUUGGCGCCUGCCUUUGGCCCAGGGCGCGAUCCUGGAGACCCGGGAUCGAAUCCCACGUCGGGCUCCGGGUGCAUGGAGCCUGCUUCUCCAACUGCCUGUGUCUCUGCCUCUCUCUCUCUCUCUCUCUCUGUAUGACUAUCAUAAAUAAAUUUAAAAAAAAUUAAAAAAAUUAAUAAACGUGUGUAAGCCUGGAUUUGCCUGUGAAUGUAUGUGCAUAACCUUGUGAAUAAUCAUUUGUGGUAAGUAUACACAUUUAGUGGGAUAGCAUGGCUCUGUGAGUACAAGGCCACUGCAUACACAUACUUUGUGAAGACAUAUGCUGAGCUCCAAAGCUGACAGUGUGAGAUUAUACAUCAGUGUGUGUAUAUACAUGGGCAUGUA
rnacentral:lncRNA from 1 species